GCCGAAGUGGCGGAACUGGCAGACGCGCCGGACUCAAAAUCCGGUGCCCCGUGAGGGGCGUGUGGGUUCGAUCCCCACCUUCGGCA
rnacentral:tRNA from 1 species